rnacentral:rRNA from 1 species
UACGUAGGGUGCAAGCGUUGUCCGGAAUUAUUGGGCGUAAAGAGCUCGUAGGCGGUCUGUCGCGUCGAAUGUGAAAACCCGGGGCUCAACCCCGGGCCUGCAUUCGAUACGGGCAGACUAGAGUUCGGUAGGGGAGUCUGGAAUUCCUGGUGUAGCGGUGAAAUGCGCAGAUAUCAGGAGGAACACCGGUGGCGAAGGCGGGUCUCUGGGCCGAAACUGACGCUGAGGAGCGAAAGCGUGGGGAGCAAACAGG